GUGCUUGUUUGGUAGAAUAUAUGUUAAAACUGGAAUGAUGCAGAUAAGAUUGAGAUGGUCCCUGUUCAGGGAUGGCAUGCAAAUUGGUGAUGUGUCCCAAAUUAAA